rnacentral:tRNA from 1 species
GAGGAUGUUAAAAAUGAUAAUGAGGGAGAGCGCAUGCCUCGCAUGCAUGAGGUCAGGGGUUCGAAUCCCCUUAUCUCCACCA